UACGAAGGGGGCUAGCGUUGUUCGGAAUUACUGGGCGUAAAGGGCGCGUAGGCGGUCCUGAUUGUCGGAUGUGAAAGGCCUGGGCUCAACCUGGGAACUGCAUCCGAUACGGCGGGACUGGAGUGUGGGAGAGGUUGGUGGAAUUCCCAGUGUAGAGGUGAAAUUCGUAGAUAUUGGGAAGAACACCUGUGGCGAAGGCGGCCAACUGGACCACAACUGACGCUGAGGCGCGAAAGCGUGGGGAGCAAACAGG
rnacentral:rRNA from 1 species